GACGAACGCUGGCGGCGUGCUUAACACAUGCAAGUUGAACGGAAUAUGUUGGAAGGGUAACCGGAAGGCAUAUUUAGUGGCGAACGGGUGAGUAAUGCAUGAGAACGUAUCCUCAAGAGGGGGACAACAUUGGGAAACCGAUGCUAAUACCCCAUAAGCCGGGAGGUAAAAGGAGCAAUCCGCUUGAGGAGCGGUUCAUGUCCUAUCAGCUGGUUGGUGAGGUAACGGCUCACCAAGGCGAAGACGGGUAGCCGGCCUGAGAGGGUGAACGGCCACACUGGAACUGAGAGACGGUCCAGACGCCUACGGGAGGCAGCAGUGGGGAAUAUUGGGCAAUGGGGGAAACCCUGACCCAGCGACGCCGCGUGAGGGAAGAAGGCCUUAGGGUCGUAAACCUCUGUUGUGUGGGAAGAAGAGCGUGACGGUACCACACGAGGAAGUCCCGGCUAACUACGUGCCAGCCGCCGCGGUAA
rnacentral:rRNA from 1 species